UACGUAGGGGGGCAAGCGUUGUCCGGAUUUAUUGGGCGUAAAGAGCGUGUAGGCGGCUUUUACAGGUCCGUUGUGAAAACUCGAGGCUCAACCUCGAGACGCCGGUGGAAACCGUAAGGCUAGAGUCCGGAAGAGGAGAGUGGAAUUCCUGGUGUAGCGGUGAAAUGCGCAGAUAUCAGGAGGAACACCCGUGGCGAAAGCGGCUCUCUGGGACGGUACUGACGCUGAGACGCGAAAGCGUGGGGAGCAAACAGG
rnacentral:rRNA from 1 species